rnacentral:lncRNA from 1 species
ACCGACCCGGAGACAGGUGGGUAUCUAUUUAUGAGAGAGAGAGUGAGUGAUGUGACAUACAGCCAAGUAUGGUGACCCAUACUCAGAAUUCAUGCUCUGCAUUUAACCCAUCCAAAGUGCACACACACAGCAGUGAACACACACCCGGAGCAGUGGGUAUCAUUUAUGCUGCGGCGCCCGGGGAGCAGUUGGGGGUUCGCCUCUUCAUUUUUCUGUGUGCAAAACAUUUAUCAGCAAUGCAAGAUAGAUGUCUUCAAACAAGCAUGGGCUUUGUUGUACAUCUGAAUCAGUAUUUGUCUAGUCUAUGAAUGUAAUCUGUUUUGAAACAAUUAGUAAUGAGCUUCAGUGGAGAAGCUUUACUAGCCGUCAGUGCAUCGGUGGUGUGUGUGUGUGAGAGAGAGAGAGAGAGAGAGAGAGAGUGAGUGAUGUGACAUACAGCCAAGUAUGGUGACCCAUACUCAGAAUUCAUGCUCUGCAUUUAACCCAUCCAAAGUGCACACACACAGCAGUGAACACACACCCGGAGCAGUGGGUAUCAUUUAUGCUGCGGCGCCCGGGGAGCAGUUGGGGGUUCGCCUCUUCAUUUUCUGUGUGCAAAACAUUUAUCAGCAAUGCAAGAUAGAUGUUCUUCAAAACAGCAUGGGCUUUUGUUGACAUCUGAAUCAGUAUUUGCUAGUCUAUGAAUGUAAAUCUGUUUUGAAACAAUUAGUAAUGAGCUUCAGUGGAGAAGCUUUACUAGCCUCAGUGCAUCGGUGAAGGCAGUCGUGUUUAAUGCAGCGUUUAGGUGGUUGUUUUCAAAGAUGUAGCCAUGGGUCUGUUGACCACUGUUGACCUCAACGUAACCAAAGACACUAACACUUCCUUUCACCUGUGAAAGUCUGAUAAACCUCUGCUGGAAUACAACAUAUGAUGAUGUCAAGAAGAAAUGACAAAAACACGGUUUAACUGUUCAGUCACAUCGUAUAAUGCAGUAAAUGUAGGCUGUGUAUCAUCUAUUGACCCCCUGAUUCACUCAGUACUGUAUUCGUCUGAAAGAAGAAAGUCAUGUACAGCUAGGAUGGGCUUGAGGGUGAGCAGAUCAUGGGGGGGUCUUCACUGUUGGCUGAACUAUCUAUUUAAUGCACGUGUUGCUUUACAUGACAAACAACAUGCUGCUAACCCUACUGUUCAGUUAGAGCUAUGGAGUGCUGGACAUGCUUCACGGGACGGACAAGAAGUUUUGUAAUUGUAAAGCGUACGAGCGGCACACGGUCCUGCUCAGCGAGAGCAUCCCUGACCAUCCCAAGAUAGAACAAGAUCCUGUUUGAUUCACAUGCAGAGACCCUGAUUAUGAGACGAUCAGUCCUUUUAUUGUUGAUCCUGUGUCUCACAUGUAUUCACCGAUGAUGAAAAUGAUUUUAAUACUUGUGAUCAAUGCUGUAUUUUAAUACUGAAAUCUAGUAAUGGUGUUUGGAAAUGAAGUUGUGUUGUGAACUUUGUGAACUUUCUGUCCCUAAAGAUUUGUGACAUCAGUUUCUGGAGUUUAUCUUCUAACUUCACUCAGUAAAGCUGAUCAAAACUCAUAGUUACUAAAAAAAAAAUAAUAAUAAUAAUUCUGAUGUGCAGGGUAAAAUAAUGAGUCUUUAAUUUUGCAUCUGGAACAAGAGUAUGUAAGAAAUGUAUUAUAUGGUCCCAGACCCCCGUGGGGCCCAGGAAACAUAAUCUUGGGAUUCCCUGGUUUCACUGAAACUAGAAAAGAAACCUAACACCAACUUUUUUUGUCCAAUAUUGUGCUGACACAAAACGACAUUGUUCGUAAUAUUUUUCUCAGUUUCAUUAGUAAUCCAAACUUUUUUUCUUUUUUUUUGCCUAAAACUUUGUCUCUUCUUGUUUAGGGUUUAAGCCUGUUCUGUACAUGAAAAAAAGUGACAUGACGUGGGGCCAAAUAUGGAGUCGCAUACUCAGAAUUUGUGCUCUGCACCCAUCCAAGUGCACACACACACACACAGAUCUGGUAAGGUCUGGAAACCAGUAAGCCUACCUUUGGCAAGUAGAUCCAUGAAUGAUUCUGAGUGUUGAUACGAGCACUUAGAAAUAUUACUGGGCUGGAGAAAAAUCUUAUAUACAUACAGUACAGGUCAAAAGUUUGGAAACAUUACUAUUUUUAAUGUUUUUGAAAGAAGUCUCUUCUGCUCAUCAAGCCUGCAUUUAUUUGAUCAAAAAUACAGAAAAAACAGUAAUAUUGUGAAAUAUUAUUACAACUUAAAAUAAUAGUUUUCUAUUUGAAUAUACUUUAAAAAAAAUAUUUAUUCCUGUGAUGCAAAGCUGAAUUUUCAGCAUCAUUACUCCAGCCUUCAGUGUCACAUGUAACAUCCAG